rnacentral:rRNA from 1 species
UACGGGGGGGGCAAGCGUUGUUCGGAAUUACUGGGCGUAAAGGGCUCGUAGACGGCCAACUAAGUCAGACGUGAAAUCCCUCGGCUUAACCGGGGAACUGCGUCUGAUACUGGAUGGCUUGAAUCCGGGAGAGGGAUGCGGAAUUCCAGGUGUAGCGGUGAAAUGCGUAGAUAUCUGGAGGAACACCGGUGGCGAAGGCGGCAUCCUGGACCGGCAUUGACGCUGAGGAGCGAAAGCCAGGGGAGCAAACGGG